CCAAUAGCGUAUAUUAAAGUUGUUGCAGUUAAAAAGCUCGUAGUUGAAUUUCGGGAUCAAGGGAUCGGUCAUGCCUUGGUAUGUACUGGUUUCAUUGGUUCUCACCUUCUAAAGAACCAUGAUGUCAUUCAUUUGAUGUUAUGGGGAAUUAGGACUGUUACCUUGAAAAAAUUAGAGUGUUUAAAGCAGGCUCACGCUUGAAUACAUUAGCAUGGAAUAACGAAAUAGGACGUUUGAUUCUAUUUUGUUGGUUUCUAGGAUCGACGUAAUGAUUAAUAGGGAUAGUUGGGGGCAUUAGUAUUCAAUUGUCAGAGGUGAAAUUCUUGGAUUUAUUGAAGACUAACUACUGCGAAAGCAUUUGCCAAGGAUGUUUUCAUUAAUCAAGAACGAAAGUUAGGGGAUCGAAGACGAUCAGAUACCGUCGUAGUCUUAACCAUAAACUAUGCCGACUAGGGAUCGGAUGAUGUUAAUUUUUUAAUGACUCAUUCGGCGCCUUACG
rnacentral:rRNA from 1 species